rnacentral:rRNA from 1 species
UACAGAGGGUGCAAGCGUUGUUCGGAAUUAUUGGGCGUAAAGGGCGCGUAGGCGGUGCGGUAAGUCUGUAGUGAAAUCUCUGGGCUCAACUCAGAGUCUGCUGCAGAAACUGCCGUGCUUGAGUGUGGGAGAGGUGAGUGGAAUUCCCGGUGUAGCGGUGAAAUGCGCAGAUAUCAGGAAGAACACCCGUGGCGAAGGCGGCUCUCUGGGACGGUACUGACGCUGAGACGCGAAAGCGUGGGGAGCGAACAGG